rnacentral:rRNA from 1 species
CACGUAGUUAGCCGAUGCUUAUUCCUUAGCUACCGUCACUUUCUUCUUCACUAAGAAAAGAAGUUUACAAUCCGAAAACCGUCUUCCUUCACGCGGCGUUGCUGCAUCAGGGUUUCCCCCAUUUGUGCAAUAUUUCCCACUGCUGCCUCCCGUAGGAGUCUGGGCCGUAUCUCAGUCCCAAUGUGGCCGUUCAACCUCUCAGUCCGGCUACUGAUCGUCGACUUGGUAGGCCGUUACCCCACCAACUAUCUAAUCAGACGCGAGCCCAUCUUUCAGCGGAUUGCUCCUUUGAUAUCAAACCGAUGCCGAUUCAAUAUAUCAUGCGGUAUUAGCGACCGUUUCCAGCCCGUUAUCCCCCUCUGAAAGGCAGGUUGCUCACGUGUUACUCACCCGUCCGCCACUAAGUUAAAAGCUCGUCACUCCGAAGAGAUCUAAGCAAGUAACUUCGUUCGACUUGCAUGUGUUAGGCACGCCGCCAGCGUUCAUCCUGAGCCGAGUACUAACUAACUCUC